rnacentral:misc_RNA from 1 species
GAAAUGCGAUACGUAAUGCGAAUUGCAGAAUUCAGUGAAUCAUCAAAUCUUUGAACGCAAAUUGCGCUCUCGGGAUAGGCCUGAGAGCACGCCUCUUUGAGUAUCGAUUCCACCACUUCCAGAACAAACUAUUUUUGACACUGGGAAUUUGAGUGCUUCAUAUCUCUUUGCUGAGAUGUGUCACUUGAAGCGGAAUGGAAUUGAGGGUCUUGCGAAACUGCUGUUGAAUAUUCAUAGGCUGAAGUGGACUUGAACAUGGAUAAAUUUCCAAUGAUCAAUAAACUUUGGUUUUUUGAUAUCAGCGAAUCUAAGUUUUGCAAACAAAAAAGCCCUCUCCUAACUAAUAUCUUAACAAUCUAAGAAUUAGAUCUCAAAUGAAGCGAGACAACCCGCUGAACUU